rnacentral:rRNA from 1 species
GACGAACCGUGCGAACGUUAUUCGGAAUCACUGGGCUUAAAGGGAGCGUAGGCGGGCUAUCAAGUCUGGGGUGAAAUCCCGCGGCUCAACCGUGGAACUGCCUCAGAUACUGACGGCCUCGAGGGAGAUAGGGGCAUGCGGAACUGUAGGUGGAGCGGUGAAAUGCGUUGAUAUCUACAGGAACUCCGGUGGCGAAAGCGGCGUGCUGGAUCUCUUCUGACGCUGAGGCUCGAAAGCUAGGGGAGCAAACGGG